rnacentral:rRNA from 1 species
UACGUAGGGUGCAAGCGUUGUCCGGAAUUAUUGGGCGUAAAGAGCUCGUAGGCGGUUUGUCGCGUCUGCUGUGAAAUCCCAGGGCUUAACCCUGGGCCUGCAGUGGGUACGGGCAAACUAGAGUGCGGUAGGGGAGAUCGGAAUUCCUGGUGUAGCGGUGAAAUGCGCAGAUAUCAGGAGGAACACCGGUGGCGAAGGCGGGAUCCUGGGCCAGUACUGACGCUGAGGAGCGAAAGCGUGGGGAGCAAACAGG